rnacentral:lncRNA from 1 species
GUAACACCUUAACCCUUAAUUUUAGUAAUUUUAUCUCUAGAAAAUAAGUUUUUCGAAAAUACGCGGCGGAUGUUAAAAACUUUAUUGAUUUAAAACAAGACCAAGGUAUAAGGUAUUACAUUAUUUACCAAAAUAUACUAUUGUAAUAAAAAAUAGUUUUCAUCAUUCUUACAACAAAAGAUAAUCUUAAUACAACCAUUUCAAAUUGAAAGAUAAGAAAUAAAAACUCCACGUGAAAAAUACAUUUGAACCCUUCCCAUGCCUAAUCAGAGCGGAGCUUCCUGACAACUCGGUCAACCACAUAAUCUGAGCAAUCUGGACCCAAACCAGUCAAACACACAAAACAGAGAGUUAGAUUAUAUAAUCCAAAUAAAAUACAUGUGCAAGGAGCAUACUUAACACAUGCCAAUAUACAUAAUCUAACUCACACACACACAUGCAUCGCAUUCAUACUCAAUCAAUAGCAUAAGCAUAGGCAUAUUCAUAAGCUUCACAUUUAGUGUCAUAACCAACUAAAUCACUUAGCAUAUAUAAUCUCCAAGUCUCAUAUGAAAACAUCAAGCAUCUAACUAAUUACCAAUGAUAGGUAUUCAACACAUAUAAUGACAAAUCAAGGAUGUCACAUAACCACUUAUUCACAAAUAUAAUUCACGUACUCCUAAUGCAUACUAAUGCACACAUCAAUGCAAUCGUCCCCUUGGACAUAUCUAUAUGAAAAUGCGGUAUACCAUUCUUCUUUAUUGGAGUAUCUCACCUCCAAUAUUCUUCUUUAUCGAAUAAAUAUAAUUCGAUAUUCUUCUUUAUUGGACAAGUCCAAUAUCCCUAAAAUAUGUUCAUGAAUGCAUGCAUAAUCAUGAACAAAAUCCACAACACAUCAACACCAAUAAGCAUCAAGCUUAAUCAAUUGAGGGGAAUUACUCCACCUCACUUCUUUAUCAAGAUAACCAUAUCUAGAUAUUCUUCUUUAUUAGAAUUACACCAAAUUCCAAUAUCCAAUUCACAAGUUAUCAAACACAUAUUGAAUAACUAUCACAAACACCAUCAUGCAUAGGUACAACGACAACAAUCCAAAGGAAUAUAAGUUAUCUAUCCUAGCAUAUUCAUUUUCAAACAAAUAAAAUAAUUUAUAAAAAUUAUUCCCAGUGUUGGUCGCUUAGCGAAGAGCUAGCGAACGCAACCAGGGAAGAUACCCCUUCUGGCGAGCAGCUGGCGAACACGUUCGCUGAACGAACCAGUCUGUUCGCUAAGCGAACUACACCAGUACAGACCUGUUAUACGAAAUUCACCAAAACUCACCCAAAUCCAUCGCAAACAUGUUCCAGUCAUGAAUACACUAUUAUGAACGAAAACACAACAUAUACCCAUACUCUUAGAACAUCAUUUAUAACAUUUAUCAACACUUCAUACUCAUAAAUUGAUGGAUUUAUCAUAUUCUUCUCAAAAACUCAUAAACACCAAAUUACUACCAAACAUCUACAAAUUCCCAUAGAUUCCACCAAUUUCAUGUUCAUUUAUCAUUAGAAAAGGAAUAGACAUAAUGGGUAUCAACAAUUUCAUCAACUUCAUAAGUUUGAACCCAAAACCCCAAAAUAAAAGAGUGUAGAGAGUUUGGGUAUGGAGAUAUAGACAAUCUCCCCUCUCUAUGAGUCACUCUAGAUUAUAUAACUAACUCUCUUACCUCGUAUUAAUGUUGGAAACUCUAGUCCUCCACUCCUCUUGAAUCCUCAAGCUCCAAUUUACUCUUUGCUCUUGCAUUUCUCUUCUUUUUCUUCAUUUUUCCCCAAUUUCGAACUGUAACUUGCGAGCAUGAUUUCUCCCACCUCAGACCUUAUUUUGACGAUCCCAACGGUCAAAAGUUGCGUUUGUAUGUUGCGAACCUACUCUCAAAAUCUUGUUGAGAUCCAACGGUUAACGAAUCCGCAAUCGAAGUUUUAGUGGAGCUGAUGCA